UACGUAGGUGGCAAGCGUUGUCCGGAUUACUGGGCGUAAAGAGCGCGCAGGCGGUCGUUCAAGUCGCGUGUGAAAGCCCCCGGCUUAACUGGGGAGGGUCACGCGAUACUGAUCGACUCGAAGGCAGGAGAGGGUAGUGGAAUUCCCGGUGUAGUGGUGAAAUGCGCAGAUAUCAGGAGGAACACCGGUGGCGAAGGCGGGUCUCUGGGCCGAUACUGACGCUGAGGAGCGAAAGCGUGGGGAGCGAACAGG
rnacentral:rRNA from 1 species